UGUAACAAAAUGUAGAACAUUUUAAGUGGGCUGAAUACUUUCCGAAGGCACUGUAAGUUCUGUAAGUAUAUGUUUGCAUUAACUGUUCCCUUUGUCUUCACAGCACCCUCAGAUGAUGAUGAUGAGGUGAUUACUAUGAUCAAAGAGCUUCUGGAUACCCGAAAGGCCCACAGUGCAGGAGGAUGGUGGAGAUGUCCUGUAUUGCAGCUUUGAGGAUGGCAUUGUGAAGCUGAAGCACCAGUUGCCCCAGCUCCAUGGUUACACUGAAGAGUGGCAUCCAGAAUAUGUUGCAGUUCUAUGUCCCUGAAGUGGAAGGGGUAGAGCAGGUGAAGGAUGAGCAAGAGGAAGUUGUCCAAGGCUGAGUCCAAUGGAAACGACUGACUCUACAGACAUUCUACUUACCCUUCUCCUCCAGCACCCACUCCUGACUCCAUCCUGUAGCGGAUUAAUGAGCAUCGUAGAGUCCUGUCUAAAGCACAGCAGUGGUAAAAGAAGAACUGCAGGGUUAUUUGGAGAGAUUUCUCAUUGAACUUCAUAGCAAUUCUCAGAGAUUGUCAGCUGUCAAGUCAUUCUGGCUAUGUGUUUCAGUGGGUAAGAAGUAGUGUCUUUGUCCUGAUGCUUGCUUUGAAAGGCUUCUAAGGUGAAGGAUUCCAGCUUGUCUGAUGAUUUAUUUAUUACAGUUUCUAGUAUUAUCACACCAUAUAACUCAGUAAGUAUUGGUUAUUACAGGCCCAAUGCAGCCGUUUGUAUAUCAUUAUCAACUCAUUUCUGGGUAACAAUUAAGUACCUUACUGUAAAAGAUUUCCAUUCAAAUGGGCAAAAUAGCUUUUUAGCAAAAAACUACAUCAAGUAAGGAUUUUGCAAAGGGGAGAAUGGAGAAGUAGCUGUCAUUGUCAGAGAGGUUUGAAACUCUUUAUUGGUCUAUUCAUUUACCGCAUGGUGAUGUCACCAUGGAAAGCCGAAACUCCCACACAUGCAAACCUGCUGUUUAGGAGGUCCUGUGUAGAUUGUAUUUUCAUCCAGCAGCUAUCAGGAAAUAACACUGAUAAAAUUGUUUCACUCCUUUACAGUGUUUGGUUCAUCAGCUGUUGUUCAAUAUAUACAUUUUGACUGCACUGAACCUUUAAAAAAGCGCAACUCCGUCCAUAUACAACACAAAUGUGCACACUGUAUAAUGUAAAUAAAUCAAAUGCAUUGAAUUAAGUAUGAAAUUAUUUUCUUGAAUGCCCUGAAUGUAGUUCUUUCUUGAACUGCACUGUUGGUUCAGAGCUUGUAAGUAAGCAUUUCAAGUAAGGUCUACACGUUAUAUUCGGCGUAUGUGACAGUUUGAUAUGAUUUGAAAUUGGCAACCAAAUAAUCCGUCAACCUGACAGGGGAAAUGGUGCACAGAUGGAGUAUGGUCUGGAGGAAAGCUUGAGUUUGCAUUGGUUUUUAAGUUUYUUAUUAUUAUGUGAAUGUAUAAUAAGCAAUUAAAAACACCUC